AUGUAUUUUUCCAGUGGAUUUAAUAUUUUCUACACUUUAGAUUAAUCUGAUUCACAACAUAGGUUCCACAGAAAAGGUCACAUCACCGAUUCAAAUGUAAUUCACUUCAAUAUAAUAUUGGUUACACAUGGCGUUCAAAUUGCCCUAUCUUUAUCUGAAUGCGAUAGUCAAAACAUCAAAUUCUCAUAUGUGAUUCUAUUGUUAUUUAAGUAAUUUCUCAAACGUAUUUGCGUUACUGGUUAUUUCAAAUGGAUUUAAUAACUAGAGGCACAUGACCAACAAAAAAAAACGUCAAACGCGUCAAAACGUUUUUCAACAUGGUCGACAAUAGAUCACUCGAGUUUGCCGUUUGCUGCGAAGAGAGAACAUUGGCAGGCCAGUUUUCGGUCCCCAGAAGACCUAACUUCAGUCGCUUGCUGAAUUUUCAUUAUCGUGAAUUAUCCUGUCUUGAUGAAUUCUUCCAGGGUACCAAGAACCUUAGCUCGUCGUCGCGAAGUCGAUUCACCUUUCUCCGAUUGCAUGCGUAGUGGCUUUUAUCGCUUCGGGGAAGUAAGUGUUCCUGGAUUCAUCGGAGGAUAGGUGGCAAGGGCCGGUUGGCAGUAGAGAAUUAUCGGUGGUCACAUCUGUUGGUGUAAAUUGGGGAAGUGUAUGGCUGCCCCCACAGCUGGUGGAGAAGUCCCAGUCUCUGUGUUUGCUAUCGGAAAAGCAAUGCGCUCAUUCACAUCCAGUUUUAACGUUUGCUCGGAUCAGUUAGCUGCUCCGGAAUUGUAGCUGAGCUUUGAAGAACCAUUUCAUCCGGGAUCGUGAGGCAAUAGGUUCGCAGUGCUCGUUGAGUUGUCAAAGUAGGUAAUUGUCUUUUUUUGGGAAACUAUUCAAACAAUUAUAAAACUCAGAAUUUGUUGAAACAUUUUUUGAGAAAAUCAAAAUUAACCUUAUUUUUUUUUAGUUUUGCCAAUAAAUUAUGUUUAUUCUGA